rnacentral:rRNA from 1 species
CGCAGCCGCGGUAAUUCCAGCUCCAAUAGCGUAUAUUAAAGUUGUUGCAGUUAAAAAGCUCGUAGUUGAAUUUCGGGAUUGGCGCAUCGGUCGUGCCUCACGGGGUAUGAACUGGUGCAGUCAAUUUCUCACCUUCCGGAGAACCGCGAUGUCCUUAAUUGGAUGCCGCGGGGAACCAGGACCUUUACUUUGAAAAAUUAGAGUGUUUAAAGCAGGCAUUUUUGCUUGAAUACAUUAGCAUGGAAUAAUAAAAUAGGACGGCAUGGUUCUAUUUUGUUGGUUUCUAGGACCACCGUAAUGAUUAAUAGGGAUAGUUGGGGGCAUUAGUAUUCAAUUGUCAGAGGUGAAAUUCUUGGAUUUAUUGAAGACUAACUACUGCGAAAGCAUUUGCCAAGGAUGUUCUCAUUAAUCAAGAACGAAAGUUAGGGGAUCGAAGACGAUCAGAUACCGUCGUAGUCUUAACCAUAAACUAUAGCCGACUA